CAUGUAGGCGGAUUGAUAAGUUUGAAGUGAAAUCCUAUAGCUUAACUAUAGAACUGCUUUGAAAACUGUUAAUCUAGAAUGUGGGAGAGGUAGAUGGAAUUUCUGGUGUAGGGUAAAUCCGUAGAGAUCAGAAGGAAUACCGAUUGCGAAGGCGAUCUACUGGAACAUUAUUGACGCUGAGAUGCGAAAGCGUGGGAGCAAACA
rnacentral:rRNA from 1 species